GACGAACGCUGGCGGCGUGCCUAACACAUGCAAGUCGAGCGAAUGAAGUUCCUUCGGGAAUGGAUUUAGCGGCGGACGGGUGAGUAACACGUGGGCAACCUGCCUCAUAGAGGGGAAUAGCCUUCCGAAAGGGAGAUUAAUACCGCAUAAGAUUGUAGUACCGCAUGGUACAGCAAUUAAAGGAGCAAUCCGCUAUGAGAUGGGCCCGCGGCGCAUUAGCUAGUUGGUGAGGUAACGGCUCACCAAGGCGACGAUGCGUAGCCGACCUGAGAGGGUGAUCGGCCACAUUGGGACUGAGACACGGCCCAGACUCCUACGGGAGGCAGCAGUGGGGAAUAUUGCACAAUGGGGGAAACCCUGAUGCAGCAACGCCGCGUGAGUGGUGACGGCCUUCGGGUUGUAAAGCUCUGUCUUCAGGGACGAUAAUGACGGUACCUGAGGAGGAAGCCACGGCUAACUACGUGCCAGCAGCCGCAGUAA
rnacentral:rRNA from 1 species